rnacentral:rRNA from 1 species
GACGAACGCUGGCGGCGUGCUUAACACAUGCAAGUCGAACGGAAAGGCCCUGCCUUUGUGGGGUGCUCGAGUGGCGAACGGGUGAGUAACACGUGAGUAACCUGCCCUUGACUUUGGGAUAACUUCAGGAAACUGGGGCUAAUACCGGAUAGGAGCUCCUGCUGCAUGGUGGGGGUUGGAAAGUUUCGGCGGUUGGGGAUGGACUCGCGGCUUAUCAGCUUGUUGGUGGGGUAGUGGCUUACCAAGGCUUUGACGGGUAGCCGGCCUGAGAGGGUGACCGGCCACAUUGGGACUGAGAUACGGCCCAGACUCCUACGGGAGGCAGCAGGGGGGAAUAUUGCACAAUGGGCGGAAGCCUGAUGCAGCAACGCCGCGUGCGGGAUGACGGCCUUCGGGUUGUAAACCGCUUUCGCCUGUGACGAAGCGUGAGUGACGGUAAUGGGUAAAGAAGCACCGGCUAACUACGUG